rnacentral:ncRNA from 1 species
UUCGGUAUUCCGAUACCGAAUCACAACUCGUGCGGUAAGCCACUGCAACGGCCGUCCGCAUAAGUCCUGUAUGUGCCUGGGCCAAUCCAACGGCAGGGCACCGAAUUCAAAAUACAAGGAG